UGCAGCCGUGUCAAAUUCAGUAGCACCCGCCUCUGUGAGUGCUACUGGCCAAAAUGGCUGCUACAUCGUACGUGUAGCUCAUGGGCCCUAUUGAGCUCCAACCAUGGCCUGUGGGGAUAAAUACGUGCUGCACACAAAA